rnacentral:rRNA from 1 species
UACAGAGGUCUCAAGCGUUGUUCGGAUUCAUUGGGCGUAAAGGGUGCGUAGGCGGCGCGGUCAGUCGGGUGUGAAAUCUCGGAGCUUAACUCCGAAACUGCAUUCGAUACUGCCGUGCUUGAGGACUGGAGAGGAGACUGGAAUUUACGGUGUAGCGGUGAAAUGUGUAGAUAUCGUAAGGAAGACCAGUGGCGAAGGCGGGUCUCUGGACAGUUCCUGACGCUGAGGCACGAAGGUCAGGGGAGCAAACGGG